GCCAUGCUGGGCGGCUGCCGGCGGGCGCUGCCCGCGGCGCUGGGCCGGGCGCUGCGGGGCCGGGCGGCGGGGCAGGGCGGCCGGGCCGUCAGCACCAGCUGGUGCCCCGUGGGCACUGCCUUCGAUGUGAAGCAGCAGCAGCAGCAGCCGCUGCGCGGCGGUGCGGCGGGCAGGGACACGGGUCUGUUUGGUGUUCCAGAGCUGAACUGUCCAGAAGGAUUUCAAGAAGCACAGGACAAAGCAUUGCAAGAAUCAGAGCAGCUUGUUCAGAAGGCAUGUUCAACACCACCUGGGCCAGAGACUGUAAUGAUCUUUGAUCAGCUUUCAGAUAGCCUGUGCAGAGUAGCAGACUUGGCUGAUUUUGUAAAAGUUGCCCAUCCUGACUUUGCAUUCAGAGAGGCUGCUGAAGAAGCUUGCAGGAACAUUGGUACUGUAGUAGAGAAAUUAAAUACAGAUGUUGAACUAUGUCAGAGUCUGAGACGUCUGCUAGCUGAUGAAACUGUAUUGAGUUCCUUAGAUCCAGAAACCAGGCGAGUGGCAGAACUUUUUAUGUUUGAUUUUGAGAUCAGUGGCAUUCAUUUGGAUGAAGAAAAGCGUAAAAAGGCAGUCGAGCUCAAUGUCAGAAUAUUGGAUUUAUGUAAUGAAUUUCUGAUAGGAACUCACAUUCCCAACAAGAUUGACAAACACGUGUUGCCAGAGCACAUUCGGUAUAAUUUUACAGCUGAAGGCAAUUACCUACGAAUUGCUGGUCUGCAUGCUGAUUGUCCUGAUGAUCUGGUGCGGGAAGCUGCUUACAAGAUUUUUCUGCACUCAAACUCUCAGCAGCUGGCUCGAUUGGAGGAGCUGCUUGUGAGCAGGAACAGCCUGGCACAGCUGGUUGGCUAUGACACCUUUGCCCACAGGGCUCUUCAGGGAACAAUGGCCAAAAAUCCAGAAACAGUAAGACAAUUUCUGGAGAAGCUUUCUGAGCAGUUGUCUAAAAGAACUCAAAAAGACUUUGAAAUGAUGACAAAGAUGAAAAUGAAGCUCAAUCCCCACAAUUCAAUGCUGAUGCCAUGGGAUCACCCCUAUUACAGUGGAGUCCUUCGUGCUGAGAGGUACAACAUUGAUCCUGGCUUGUAUUGUCCAUUUUUCUCUCUUGGGGCAUGCAUGGAAGGUUUGAACUCUCUGUUCAGUCAGCUCCUAGGGAUCUCUCUGUAUGCUGAACAGACAAAGAGAGGAGAGAUUUGGUCUGAAGAUGUUAGAAAGUUGGCUGUUGUUCACGAAACUGAAGGUUUGCUAGGUUACAUCUAUUGUGACUUCUUCCAGCGACCUGAUAAACCACAUCAGGACUGUCACUUUACAGUUCGAGGAGGCAGGCUAAAGGAAAAUGGAGAGUACCAGCUACCUGUAGUUGUUCUUAUGCUGAGCCUUCCCAACUCAGCAAGAGGUGCACCAACGCUACUGAGUCCUGGCAUGAUGGAGAAUCUGUUCCAUGAAAUGGGUCAUGCCAUGCAUUCUAUGCUGGGGAGAACUCGCUACCAACAUGUCACUGGAACCAGAUGUGCUACUGAUUUUGCUGAAGUUCCCUCAAUUCUGAUGGAGUACUUUGCAAAUGACUAUCGAGUGGUUAACCAGUUUGCAAGGCAUUAUAAAACAGGACAGCCACUACCAAAAAACAUGGUGUCAAGACUGUGUGAAUCCAAAAAGGUGUGUGCUGCAGCUGAUAUGCAACUCCAGGUUUUUUAUGCUGUCUUGGACCAAAUCUACCAUGGUAAACACCCUCUAAAAAAGUCAACCACAGAAAUUUUAAAGGAAACACAGGAGAAAGUUUAUGGAUUGCCAUAUGUACCCAAUACAGCCUGGCAGCUGAGAUUCAGUCACCUUGUGGGCUACGGUGCCAAAUACUACUCCUACCUCAUGUCCAGGGCUGUUGCCUCUAUGGUGUGGAAACAGUGCUUUGCUCAGAACCCAUUUGACAGGGCAAUGGGGGAGCGCUAUCGUAGGGAGAUGCUGGCACACGGCGGUGGAAAGGAGCCCAUGCUGAUGGUGCAAGGUAUGCUGCAGAAAUCCCCUUCAGUUGAAGAUUUUGUGGAUGCCCUUGUUUCAGACUUAGACCAUGACUUUGAAACAUUUAUCAUGGACUCAUAACAACAGAACCGAAUUCUUUUGUGGAAGAUUGUGAGUUCUGCACUAGGAAGAGCAAACUGUGUUUGAAACAAAGGGAAAAUUGGAAAGAAAGAAACUAGAAGCUGUAUUUGAGAUAAGGAAGAGAAGGAUGGGAGAAGUAAAUCUGUGGUCCUACUGGUCUGUAAUGGAAAAUUUUAGAGAGGUUGGGGAAGGAAUUCCCCAAGAACUGGAGGUGCCAUUCCAAGGAAGAGGCAGUGCCAUUGGGGUCUCUAACCUCAGCUGAUGGUGACAAGGUAAGUUCUCAUCACUCCUGGUUCCUCACCAUCAUGGCAAAUUUUCUUCUUAUCUCUUGUAAGUUUAAUUUGUUGUCUUGCCCUGAAGCCUGCCCAGCAAACGUGUCCCUCAUGCAUGGAGAAGUGCCAUGUGUGUGUAGGUUUUGCUCUCCUUGAAACUGUUUAACGUUGGAGGUCUUUUGCAAAACAGUGCUGAAUUGCUGGCGGUGUUUUCCCUAAGUAGGGAUUUAGAUAAGUUGUUCUGCUUAAUCAAAUUAGCUAUCUUUGAUUUCAUCUGGUGUUUAAGCCAAAUUCCCAAGACAAAGUGGUUUUAAUAGUCUGUUCAGUUUGUAAUCUCUGUUUUCCAAGAAAAUCAGCUUUUUUUUUUUGUUUGUUUGUUUCUGACAGUCUCAAAUGUACGUGAAAAACUGAUGUAGGCUGGCUGACUACAGGGAAAUAGCUAAUUUCACAUUCAGUGUUUUUCUUUGUGAGCUAUCCCAUUUCCCAUGCCUUUCCCUCAUCUGUCAGAAGUGUCUGUCAGCGUCUCUGGCUAUAGCCUGUAUUUUUUUUCUUCUUCUCCACUUCAGGUUUGUUUCUCAUCCCAUCUUGCAACUCCAGCUUUUUCCCCUUAUUUGGAAAAAAAAAAAGUUUUGCAAAUUUAAGUGGGUCAGUAAAAGCUACGAACCCCUUUUUAGAACUUGUCCUCUGGCUGUCAGGAGCCUGUCAAAAGCUCCACACGCUAUGGAAAAGGUCACUUCAGGAGUGCAGGACUUGCUGGAGCAAACAGGAGCCUUGAGCUUUGCUCUUCUUUUUCCAUUAUUCACCUGGGCUUUUAGCCUGGAGCAGAGAGGCUGUGCACAUCUUAUCAACAUCAGCACUGGGGAAGGUGACCCUCAGCUCACACUGUGCUCACCCAAAGGGCCCUCUGGUGCUCCAGCUCCAGUAGAAAAUCCAUCAGUGCCCUCAGUCAACUAAAGGACAUAUAUAUGCAUGCUGCAUUAGCUUUGGACCUCUGAAACAGAGUUUAAGGGCCAAAGUCAGCAUGGGGCUUCUGUGGUUGUUGAGAGGCUUUGUUGAAAGUGAGCUCCUGGAUAGUUUAUUUAUCAAGACCUGGAACCUCAAUCACAGUAUGAACAUGGAAAUAGGAGAAAUAGGAAGUUUGAUCUGGUGCUUUGGCUGAUAUCCUGUAAUUCUAUUUUAUUUCCCCCUGAAUGUUGGGGAAAAUUAUGGAGUAGGUGAAAAGCUUUGUCUUCUGCAAAAUGGAGAAAAUUCCUUGUUAUGCCAGAUUAUCAACGCCAGUUUUGGUUCUUUCCAUUUGUACUGCUACUGCUCCUUACCAUCCUCCACUGAACUGAAAUAAACCUGAGUAAAUCCGCCAGAUAAAUUUACCCUGUUUAUACUGACUUACCCUACAGAGAAAUUCCAUCUGGACUGAUGGUGUUGCUCUCCAGCCCUGCAAAGUUGGUCCUGAGAAAGACAAAUUCUGUCUCUGCAGCCAACUCAUUCUCCUACCUCUUGUUUGCCUUUUCCCUAUUACUAUAUCAUAAAUACUACAGCUUCCUGGACACUGCUAUUUGUACCAAAAAAAAAAUACAAACAGAACACUAACAGAAAGGCAGGCAAGUGUCUGGCAGGGGUGUCUUUAAUUUUUCUCUUCAUUAUUACUGCUCUAAGCAAUUUAAAUGUGAAUAAACCAGCUCAAAGUGGAAGGAAGCACUGGUUUCAGCAUGACAUGGUUAGAAAAGAGUAGGUGUUGAUAUCCCCAGAGGUCAUCUGGGGCUCAUAACAUCCCUUGUCAGGGCCCAUGGAAGCCAAACUGGUAUUUUCUUACUCUUCAGGAGCGCUGGGGUGUUUGCCAGCAGCCUCCACAUCUCACUCCACUUUCAGGAUUACUAUCAGUGAGAAUGCUGAAUUGCCAUCUCAGCUGCAGGGACUGGAAGAUGUCCACAGAAAUGUGGGCACUGGUGACACUGAGGGGAUGGAGUUGUUGGUAAUUGGUGGAUUUUGUACGAGAGGGCUGCACCAGUGGAGACUGGGCCUGCUCUUGCUGCUCAGCAGCACAGCCACAGUGUCAAUGUCCCAAGAGUGUUGAUGCCUUCAGUGGCUUUUCCUGUUGGCCUGAGUCUAGCAUGCCUCUUCUCUCUCUCCCAGAAAAAGGAUGCUGAAGUGACAGUAGUUGUUGGCUGGCUCAGCUGGGAGUUUACAGUAUUUAAUUUACAGUUCCAGGUCUGAAUUUCACACUCAGACCCCUGAGGUGGGAUCAGCUAACGAUGAGGAGGUAAUUAAAGGGCCAUUACAGCAAGCUGGUCCCAAGGGAGCCACAAUGGUCCUGGUGAAGCUGCUGCAGGCACACUCAAGUCACAUCCUCAGCUGUCUUGCUGAACUCAGGGCUCGGGAAGCGUGUUCUUAUGGGCUGGUUUGAACUGAAAUGUGUACAGCACAGCUGUGCUCGUUCAAAUAGGAAUUCACAAAGCUCUAAAGAGGGAAUUAAACCUUGCUGAGGCCUGCCAAGAAAAUGUUGAAUUUUUUAUUUUGACUGGAAACAUGUAAAUCACCUGAAUACCUUACUCAGACUUAGUUAAAAAAUGCUUUAAGUGUUCAUAGAGUCCACUGUCGCUGUCUUCAUACAAUCCCAGAUGGCAUGAUACAAAUGUUACUCUUUUCUAGGAUCUGUUUUGUACAGCCUGCUUUCCAUCUUGAUUUUCUUCCCUUUUGGUACUGCUGGUGAAUAUGUUUCAUUUUUCUAUGGCUUCUACUCCUCAGUGCUGCACCGAGUUGGCUGCCAGCUCUGCCAGCUCUCUGUGGUGUUUGGAGUCCCCCUCCUUGUCCAGAGACUUCACUUUUUCUUAAUUAAAGCAAAAGAGGAGCAAAAAAAAUCCCAACCCAGAAGACCACUGGAAGAGCUUGCACAUGGCAGUGGCACCAUUUUCAGACAGUCCUGUAUCUGGGCUCCCACACCCCACAAACUGAUGGAUUAAUUGCAGACAGAAGUAUUCUUCAACUGCUGGAGGUCCAUGGGCAGUGCUAAGAAAAAGACUCACUCAUUGACCCAGUUUGCAGUUUCCCACUCCAUCACCUAAUAAAGAGUUUGAGACAAGCAGGCCAAGUGAAAAUGCUCCUUUGUGGCCACAUGUCACAGCACAGCAGGACACUGCAAUGGUGUACAUAUUUCCUGUGUAAAAGCCACUCACCCACUGCAAGACUUUGAGCAAACAAAACACUUUGCAAAAGCCAAGGGAGGGGCGGAUGCCAUGAUAACCCAGGGUUGCUCCUGCUGCAGGGACAGAGAGAGGAGCUGCUGUGAGCCAUGGCCAGGCAUUGCUGCUGCCUGCACUGGGGGCAGGUGAGGAGCUGCAGAGGGACUGGAACAGCCAGAGCCCAGCCCUGAUCAGCAGCUGAAUGAAGGGGCUCUUGGAAGCCCUGUUUUAGGGCCCUGUAGUUGUCUUUCCUGUAGAAGUGUAAAGAUUGAAACAGCAUAAUAGAAAAGUAUAUAAUUUUGUUGUUUACAGUGGACCUGUUCAGCAUCAGUAUCUGGGGAGGGUGAAGGGAUGAGGGUGUGAGGUGGGAGGGGAGCGCUGCCAGCAAGCCUGCAGGCAGCGGGUGCUUCCCUGUCCAGUCCCCUCCCAGUGCCUGUGGGACUCUUGCCUGGUUUGGCCAAAAUUAGGUUCUGUCUUCCACUUCUUCCAUCUGGCUGUUCUUAAGUUUUUGAAGAGUUUUAAAACAUUAUUGUUAAAAUAAUUUCUGUUUAAUUGAGUAUAACCAAAUAACUUAUAACCAUUAUAACUUUGGGCUGAUUUAUAAUUAGCAGUUCUAAGCAGGAGACCAAUUUAACUGUCCUCCUUUCUGCUGUAACUUCUUUGCUCUUUGGUGCUGUUUUCCACCAGCCUAAGAGCACAGGAGAAAAUGCCCUGCUAUGUCUCAGCUAACAGGUCAGCCCUACCUGCUUUGACUCACCCAUUUAGGAAAUUGAGUUGAAUACCAGGUGUGCAAAGUAGAUCUGAUAUGAAGGAUUAUUUGUUUUGCUGCAGUAUUUUGUGGUAAGAUUAUCUCAGGGAAGAGAAAGUGAAUGUUCCACACCAAAAAAAGAGGACAGCUUUGUGUUUCCAGUCAGUUUAAACCAUUACACUUCCCUACUGACCUGUCUAAUCUUUUCCACAGAUAAUUAUUUUGCAGCACCUGAGGGUAAGUCCUGUUAUCAGCAAUUUUUACAUACUGUCUUGGAUAGCUCUGUCUCCUGCUGUGACCAGCUCUUGUCCCUAGUUUUCAUGGAGGGUUCUUGCAGAAAAAUCCCAAUCAGGGCAUGUACUUAAAAAAAUUUUCCAUUUUAAGCACUUUACUUUUUCUUCCAUUUCAGAAGUAGCUGUCCACAGAUAAGAAUCCAACCAAAUGAAUCCCUGGGUAGAUUGCCUUUGAAUUGAGCUCUCUGCCUGUCUAAAAGCAAGCUUUACCUUGCAUGUGUUACAUCUUCCCAAAUAAUGAAUUUGUUCUGUUUUCCAGUGUCGAGGGGAGAUCAGACCAGGCAGUUGGGGAGAAUGGGAAAGGCAGACCUGGAGGAAAGCAGGCAAACAAGUACCUGACAAUUGCAGCGGUGAUAAAUAAGGCAGAAGGGUAGGAGGGAGCCAUAAAACAGGAGGAGAGGGGAUAAGAAAGAGAGACAUUCCUUUCCUGAGUGGAAAGAGUCUUCACUGUGUUACUAUUUCUGACACGGGGCAGGGGAUGGGGAGGACAAAUCCUCCUGUGUCAAGAAAAAGGGGUAAAUGCAGCAUCUCUUCUUCACAAAAUGGAUAUUUUAUGAAGACUGAGAAGAUAAAAUGCUUGGUAUGCUUGAGGGGCAGGGUAAUUCUAGAGAAUAGAAGAGUUUUCUUUCCUACUUGUUUUCCCAUGCAGCCCAGAGUUAUUUAGCUGAGCUUUUAAUACACAAGUGGGAAUUUUGCUGAAUGAUUCUCCAGUACAACUUUUAUGCAAUUUUUUUCUCCUGUUUCUUUCCCCUCCACCCCUUUUUGUUUUCUUUUGUUUGAACUACCCAUAGGCAGUGGUUCAAUAGCAGACUUUUAAAGAAUGGGUUGUUGGUGUGGGUUGAGGUUGAUCUGGUCAAAGAUGUGGGUAUUUUUGUAUUUUUUCCUGGCCUGGUUACCGGGCCAGAGGACAGAGCAGCAGUAAGAGAAGCAGUAGUUGAUUCCAGGGCCAUUAGGAUUCUGGGUGGCAUUAGGUUUGCCUUUCUUUUUUUUUUUUUUUUCCCAUGAGAAAAUGUAAUGCAAGUUAAGCAGAAUCUGAAUACAAUCUUUUUAUUGUUUUGUCCAAAACCUGAGGCAAUUAGGAAAAGAACAGAGAUUGUCAGGCAUUUAAACCCUCCAGCUCUCACAGCAUGGAGUGUGACAAGGCCGAACUGGAAGCCAACUUCUCUUCCCUAAGAUCAGAGAGACAACAAAUGGCCCAGCUGAUACUUGCUGCUGAAUUUCUUCAGGUUAAACUCAGCUACCAGAUGGUGCUGGAAUCAAGAUCAAAAUGAAAAAAGCACAUUUGCAAGGGGCACUCCAUUGCAACCCUGGCAGUGCUGAGGGUUAUGAAGAUCCCUGUGUUGGCACAAGGUGACCUCCCAAACAGGCCACGUGCUGCUGUGCAGCCUUGCAGAUCUCCAUGUGAACUCCAAGGACACUCAGGUGGGCUGGGCAUGUGGCAGUCAGAGCAGAAAACAAGUAGAAAGCUGCUCAGGAGUGCAGCACAUGGACACAGGAGGAUGAGGAGUCCUUGCUAUUCUGAGCAGGGGAUCCCCAGUUAAGCUCUGAAUUAUAUACUUCAAAGAAUGUAGAAAUAACAGCAUUACACCGAAAAGAAUCAAUGUGGAAUUUGCUCAACUAAACCAGAGACAGGGACAGAGCAGCUUUUGAGUCUCCCCCCAACUUUCCCCCCAAAAAUCACUCCAGACAAGCGCCCUGGCUUUAUGUUAUCUGCAAUCCCUAUCUGGAUUCAGUUUCCAGUCACCACUUAUGGCUUUAUCAUAAGGACCAAUUUUAUGCAAUUAUCAAAAUACUCUUUCUCCUCAGUCUUCUACUCUUCUACUCAGUCAGUCAGACUGUGCCAUUCCUUUCUUAUUAAUUUAAAUUGGGGCCAUGACUCCAAUCCUGCUCCAAAAAUACAGCUCCUCUCAUUAUUUGCUUAUCUGUCUUGUCUGAAACAACCUGGUGGUGUGGAGCACCAGGUUGUCUUUUCUAAGACAUUGUAAAGAAAGCAAUUUGACUUUUUCCCCCCACCUCUUUUCCCUCUCCCUUUCUUGAGAAGCAGAAUUUUUAAACAGUUUUGAAGCACUAUGAUUUUAACCACUGAUAUUAAAUUUCUGCUUCUUCAGGAUCCUCCUGCUUGAAGAAUGAUGUUACUACUAAACUGCAAACAUUUCAAGACAAAGACACACCAAAUUCUACCAUAACCUUAAUGUAAUUACCCCUUCAUGAAAUUCUAAAAGAACUAGAAAAUUCAUCACUAAAUUUGUACAGAAAGCUAUUAUUAAUUUGAGGUCAACAAACCAAGACUGGUUCACAUAACAUUUUAUUCACAAGUAGAAAAAGUAUUACAAAACAAUUUAUACAAGGUUGUAAUUUACAUUUGUUAAAGGAGUAUUUAAAACAGCACUAUAAGUCCCUAGACAUGACAUGUGGGCAGUCUAAAUGCAGUGAUAGUGGAUGUUUUCUAUUGGCAUGUACAACACUGCUUGCCACAGGCAAUAUACAAAAGACCAAUUUGGUUAAAUAAAGGAAAAAAGUAUAUACAAAAUAUACACAUAUAUCUAAAAAACACUCUCUUAAUUUUUUCCUCCCAAUUUUCUCUCAAGCUUUCACUAAUUUAAAAAAAAAAAAAAGAGUAUCUUUUUCUAGGGUUGCUGGAUAAAAACAAUUAUACAAAUUUUAAAUUCCAAUGGGAAAACACACUGUGGCAGAUGCUGGCAAAAUUUCUGAACAUUACUUUUUCAAGAACUGUUAUUAGUGAAAAGUUAAAUCUCUGUAUGUUCUGGAAAUAUUUUGCCAUAUACUGAAAUGCACAUUGGAUUUUUUUCUAUUUACAAAGUAUAUACAAAGAAGCACACAUCUCUUCAUGCACAUGUAGUGAAAAAUAAUGUUUUGUAACUUCUUAAACGUAUGAAAGUAUACAAAGAAAUUAUUGAAAACUACUCAUAUAUAAAUAUAUAUGUCAAAGUAUUUAUCUGAGUAAUUGUACUGUAGAACUGCUUAUUAUUCCAUCAGUGACCAAAAGGUGGUACCUACUACUUCAAACACCAAACCCAACAACAGCCAGAAAAUCACUUGGGUAACUUGUUCACAUUGGUCUGAAUUUGGGAAGUGUUAUUCCUGGCUUUUGCACUAAGAAAUAAUCUCAGUGGUGAAGAGCUGGAGCAUCUCUCUGCCAUGGCUGCCUGUACUGUUUUUAGAUAUUUUUGUGCAGGUCCAACCUUCUCUGUGUGCUUCAAAGCAGAAGUCUUUUUCCAUAAUGGAUUCUGAAUGCUGUCUCAACAUUUCCAUUGCCACACAAACCACGUGUGGAAAGAUGAGUAAUAUUUAUUGCCAAUUUGUUGGCAUCUGUUUUGCUGAUUGCUUUGCUUUAGUCAAGGCACAUUGGGUACUUUAAGGAAUAAUUGCUAGAGUUCAUCAGAGGCAAGUGUGAGCCUGUUGAGUGUCAUGAAUCAGUGGAGGUUACUGACAUUAUCCACAAAAGCAAAAACUAUUUUAGUUUUUAGAAAAUGUCUGAAAAAAAUGAUAUUAAGGGAUGUGAUAAAGCAAACCACUUUGCUUUUUAUGCUUAUGUUUUGUGUGCAAAAUUUGAAUUUGAUGCAGUACUACAAUGAGAAGGACAGAGGGUCUUGAAUGAAAGUGACUUCUAAAUGAAUCAAUGAGUUCACCACAGAGAUUGACCCUUAAAAAUAAUGCACGAAUAAAAAAAUCUUUGUAACAGUCUCACUGUAUAAAUACUUUCAUGGCACACCUGCUAUAGUCUGACAUUUUGAUCUGACAGUUGAUUACAAUUAUUCCGACAUUCAAAAUUAUAUUCUAUAACAAGAAGUGCUGUAUUCCAAUACUGAGACUACUAAUUAAACACAAUGUCCUUA